AGCUCCAAUAGCGUAUAUUAAAGUUGUUGCAGUUAAAAAGCUCGUAGUUGAAUUUCUGGCGCGGGCCGCGUGGCCGCCUUCGGGCGCGCCGUGCGACCGCGCCAUCCUCGCGGGGAAGGCGUCGGCAUUAACUUGUCGGCGUUCGGACCCGCGUCCUUUACUGUGAAAAAAUUAGAGUGUUUCAAGCAGGCUUCACGCCUGAAUACAUUAGCAUGGAAUAAUGAGAUAGGACUUCGGUGCUAUUU
rnacentral:rRNA from 1 species